AAACUGAAGAAACUGCUUUCACCUAACAACUGUAGAAAGAUAAAGGUUUAUCUCUUGAUGUCAUGGCAUCCAAGAACUCCACACUUAAGUGGCAUCUCCCAUUAGUCAAGUCCACCCUGGUUAUGUUCAUUAUUCUUAUGCCAGCUCCAUGCAGUACCACCAAGGUGGAAUGCAAUGAGCCGAAUCAACCUGCCCUGCUGGAGGCUCUGACUCCAGUCUUUAACCUGAGCACCAUACGACCCGUCAUGAACUUGACAACCUGCACCAAAGUCAACACAUUCUUCA